ACAGCCUGUCGUCCUCUCGUCUUUGUCUGUCUGUGUAUACUUUUUUAUUCUCUGAUCCCUGGAUGCCUUCAAAAUGUUUCUCGUCUUUGAUUUCUAACAGUCUCAGUAUGAUACAUUCAGAGUUCUCUUUAAUCCUGCUAGGGGUUACUCGAGUUUCGGAUCCGUGGUGGGUUUCCUUUCAUUGCAUUUGUCUAUUUCUUGGUCAUUACAUCUUCAAUAUUUCUUUCGUCCCAUUUUCUCUUCUCCUUUUGAAAUUCCAAUUACAUGCAUAUAAGACCUUUCGACAGGGCUCUUGGAUUUUUGUUCCAUUUUAUUCCUUCUUCUUUCUCUUUGGGUUUCAAUUUGAAACAUUUCUAUUGACCUGUCUUCACGUUCCUCCAUUUUUCCCUCUAGGCACAUGAAUUUUGUGUUUAACUUCCUGGCAUCCCUGUCAAAGGAAUUCUUUAUCUCUGGCAUUGUCUUUUUUUCUUAGCAUAUCCAGUGGACACAUUUUCAUAGCCUUUCUCUCAGUGCUCAGAGUUCCUGUUUGUUCAUAAUUAGUCCCCCACAGUAGAGUGCUGUUGUUUGUUACUCAAUGCCAGGCUCCUGGGGAAGUCUUUUCGGGGAGGAGGAAGGUGGCAUUUUGCGGUCCCUCCUUAGUCCUUGUCAGGCCUUGUGCAUCUGCACUUCAGAGGUGGGGCUUUCUCAUCAUCCUCCCUCCCUGACGCGGUGCCAGUCUCUGCUGCAUGUCAGUGGGGCUGCUUGAGCACAAGUGUCUUUUUUUGUCCCUGUCCAGUGUCAGCUGAGCUCUCCUUUGCUUCAGAGCAGGGUUGUGUCCAUGAGUGUGUUUUCCCUACACCUCUCAUUAGCAGAUCAGUGUUACAUUAUGAAUGACAGAUGGAGAUGUGCAGGUUUCCCACCCUCCCCCGAAGCUCCUGGCCUUGGACUGAGACUAGAUGGCAGCAGCAUUUCCUGGCUUUCCCCAAGUGGCACAUGGCAUUUGCUUCGUAGGAGAGAAGAGUUCACAGUGUUGACAGUUCUGUGCCUGCGUCUCCUGCAGUAACUGUUCACCAUCUGUAUGUCUGGGAUGGCUCUGGGCUUCAGUCUUCCCUUGACCAUCACUCCUUCUUCUACAAUCAAUGUAUUCUCUACCCUGACGGAAACUUUGCAUGCAAGCAAGAACAUACUUGAAAACAUCCUACUGUUGAGCACUUGAAGACACUUUUCUGAACUCUCUUCUUAUGCUAAAGAGGAUAUCAUUUUGAAACAGUUUGGUUUUCUGUUUGGGUGUAUCAUUAGCUUCGACAUUACUCCUUAACAUUUAUAAUACGGCAAUCCUUUUCAUAUCAGCUAUUAAUUAGACCAAUUUUCUUUCCUUGUUUUAAAAGUAGAUAUUGAAAUGCAUUUAAGUUAACAAAAAUGUGCAAAAAUAGUACAGUGGUUUCUCAUAUACUAUUAACAAUAUGUUCCAUUUUCAGUUGCUCUGUGUCCUCUCCAGCAAAUUGGUUCGGCAAUUUCUUCUUUUUUAAUUUGUUUUGCUUUUUGUUUUUAGAUCAAACAUUCUCAUCAAUGCUUAAUAAUAUUUUAUUUUGAUUUUGAUUUGCAUAUCCUUAGUGACUAAUGAUAUGGGACAACAUUUUAUAUUAUUGGUUACAAUUAAUGCAUCUUAUUUGGUUAAAUGUAAGUUUUUAAAUUGGGUUGUUUGGUUUUCAGUUGUUGAGUUUUGAGAGUUUUUUAUACAUUUUAGAUAUAAAUUCUACAUUGGAGAUGUGAUUUGCAAAUGUUUUCUUAGUCUGUGGCUAGUUCACUCCUGCUAUCAUGUCUCUUUUGCAAAACCAGCACUUUCAAUUUUGUUAAAAAACAGCGAAUAAGUUGCUUUUAAUGUUAUGCUAAGCGCUUAUGUAGUCAUAUUUAAAACCCCCUUCCCUUGCCUAUGGUCAUCAGUAUUUCUCCUGUGUUUUCUUCUAAACAUUUUGUAGUUUUGUGUUCUACAUUUAGGCUUAUAAUUCAUCUAAAAAUCGUAUUAAUAUGAGGCACAAAUUAAGGGGCUUUGUUCGUUUGCUUGUUUUCUGUUUUUUUGGGGCUUCUUGACUUCUAAUUUUCUAGCAUUACUUUUUGAAAGAGUUAUUACUUCACCAUGGAACUGUCUUUGGGCAUUUGUAAAAAUCAAUUGACUAUUUCUGUAGCUUUCUUUGUGGACUCUCUGUUCUGUCUAAUGAAUCUAAAUCCUAUUCUUUCCUCAAUAUCAUACUGUCUUCAUCAUUGCAACAUUCAGAUAGCUUUAAAUCUGAUGAUAGACGUUCUCAAAAUUGUUUGGGGUCUUGUUUUUUUUUUUAUAUAUAUACACAGAGAUCUUAGAAUUUGCUUGUUGAUAUGUUCAAGUCAGGCUGCUGAGAUUUUUCUUGUAUUGCAUUGAAGGUCAUAUAUCUCAAUUGACGUUGAAGACAAUUUAGUCUUUCAAUUCAUGGACACUUAGUAUCUAGCUCCAUUUAUUUAGGUUUAAAUUUUUUUUCUAUAGUUUUAGUUUUUACAAUAUAAAUGCUGCUCAUAUUUAUUAUUUCAAGUAUUUAAUUUUUAAAGUUAUUUUAAAUAGCUGUUUUAAAAUUCAAAUUUCUGUGAUUCAUUACCAGUUUCUAGCAAUUUCUUUUUGGAUACUGACCAUGCAUCCUACAUCUUUAAAAAACGUAGUCUUCUUUUGUAGCAAUUCCACUGAAUUUGAAAUAGGCAAUCAUGAUCUAGAAACAGAAACAUUUUUAAUUUCCCCUUUCUACUUUAUGUGUGCCUUUUAUUUACUUAUUUUUUACUUGUCUUAGGGAACUGGUUAUGAUUCGCAGUCUGUUCAACAGGAAUGGUAAGAUUAGUAGCCUUGUGUUGUUUCCGCCUUAGGAAACAGUCUUUCACCAUGAGUGUGAUGUUAACAAUAGUUUUUGGAGAUGCCUGUCAGAUUAAGGAAGUUUCCUUCUAACCUUUGCUGAAAUUUUGUUUUUUAGUAUUAAAGGAGAAAAAAUUUUGUCCAAUGCAUUCCCUUACUACGGUGAAUUUCAUUGGUUGUUUGGUCCAAUGCAUUCCCUUACUAUGGUGAAUUUCAUUGGUUGUUUUGUCCAAUGCAUUCCCUUACUACGGUGAAUUUCAUCAGUUGUUUUGUCCAAUGCAUUCCCUUACUAUGGUGAAUUUCAUCAGUUGUUUUGUCCAAUGCAUUCCCUUACUAUGGUGAAUUUCAUCAGUUGUUUUGUCCAAUGCAUUCCCUUACUAUGGUGAAUUUCAUCAGUUGUUUUGUCCAAUGCAUUCCCUUACUACGGUGAAUUUCAUCAGUUGUUUUGUCCAAUGCAUUCCCUUACUAUGGUGAAUUUCAUCAGUUGUUUUGUCCAAUGCAUUCCCUUACUACGGUGAAUUUCAUCAGUUGUUUUGUCCAAUGCAUUCCCUUACUAUGGUGAAUUUCAUCAGUUGUUUUGUCCAAUGCAUUCCCUUACUACGGUGAAUUUCAUCAGUUGUUUUGUCCAAUGCAUUCCCUUACUAUGGUGAAUUUCAUCAGUUGUUUUGUCCAAUGCAUUCCCUUACUACGGUGAAUUUCAUCAGUUGUUUUUUAAAAUGUUAGUUAAGCCUCGCAUACCUGGGAUAAAUGCAGUUGGUUAUGAUUAAUCCUUAUAAGUUGUUGAAUUCAAUUGCUAACAUUUUGUUGAAUUUUUGUGUGUCUGUAUUUAUGAGUGUUACUGGUUUGUAGUAAUCUUUCCUUAUAAUGUAUUUCCUUUUAGUUUUGCUAAAAAAUGGCUUGGGAAGUUUUCUCUCCCUUCCUACACGUUGAUAGAAAUUGUGUACAUUUGGUUUUAAAAUAUUUGAGAGAAUUAAACAGUGAAACAAUCUGGGUCUAGGGCUUUCAUUAUUGGAAUGUUCUGAGGCAUACUUUGUAAUUCCUUAGAAUAUACAGGGCAGUUAAUGUAAUCUAUUUCUUUUUGAGUGAGACUUGGUCAUUUGCCUUUGACCUAUUAAAAUUAUUUUGUUAUUCUUUUGAUAUCUAUGGUGUCUGUAGUUAUGUUUCCACUUUUAUUUUUGAUAAUGGUAAUUUGUAUCUAGCUUUAUUUCAUGGUCAAUCUGGUUAGUUUUCCCAAUUUAUACAUAAUUUCAGACUCAGCUUUUGCUUACAUUCUUUUUUAUUGUUUUUCUGUUUUCCUUUUAUUAAUUUUUUGUUACUUUUAUUAUUUCCUUAUUUUCUACUUGCUUUCGAUUUGAUGUACCUUUUUGUUUUUCGUGUCAUGGAGGAGAAGUACAGAUGACUUAUUGGAGGCCUCUGUGUCUAAUGUAAGCAAUUAAAGCUACACAUUUCUCUUUAAGGACUACUUAGCUAUACAUCACAAAUUUCAAUGUGUUGUGUUCAGUUGUUUAGUUGAAAAUACUUCAAAAUUUUGCUCCAUACUUCCUUUUUAAUUUAAGUUUCACUUAGAAGUAUGCAAUUAUGUUUUACUUUAAUCCCCGGCUAUUUGGGGAUUUUUUUUGUCAACUCUUGUUAUUAAUUUUUAGUUUAAUUUUCUGAUGAUCCAAGAAGACACUUUAUAUUGUUUCUAGACUUUUAAAUUUUCUGGGGGUUGUUUUAUGACUCUACAUAGAGUGGAUCUUUGUGAAUGCUCCAUGUAUUCUUAAAAAGUAUGUGCAUUCUAUUGUUUUGGGGUAGUGAGUUCUGUAAGUGUCAUUAGGUUAAUUUUGAUGACAGUAUUUUUUUCUUUUCUAUAAUACUGAGUUUUUUAUUCUAUUGAUUACUGAGAGAGGAGUAUUUAAAUCUCCAACUAUAAUUGAAGGUUUGCCUAUUUCUUUUAUUUUCUUUUCCUUUUUUGAGACAAAGUCUCACUCUGUCAUCCAGGCUGGAGUACAGGAGUUCAAUACUGCUCACUGCAGCCUUGACCACUGGGCUCAGUGAUCCUCUCACCUCUGCCUCCCAGGUAGCUGGGACUACAGGUGCAUGCCACCAUCACUGGUUAAUUUUUUUUAUUUUUUGUGGAGAUGAGGUUUUAUCAUGUUGCCCAGUAUAGUCACCAAAUCCUGGACUCAAGAAAUCUACUCACUCAAGCCUCCCAAAAUGCUAGGAUUACAGGAGUGAGCCAGUACACCAGGCCUUGCUUAUUUCUUUAAUUAAUUUUUUUGAUGAAUCAUGACACUUUGUUUUUAGGUGCAUACGCAUUCAGGAUUAUGAUGAAUUCUAGAUUUUUAAAAUUGUGUAAUGGUGAUUUUUUCCUGACAAUAUUUCUUGUUCUGAUGUCUACUUAAAGCUGCAUUUAUGAGGUUAGUAUUUGCAUGAUAUGCUUUUUCCCAGCCUUUUAAUUGUAGCCUAUGUCUUUACAUUUAAAGUAAGUUUUUUUUAGACACAUGGGUAUUGCUUUUUAAUCCAAUUGGACAAUCUUUAUGUAUUAGCUGUGUUUAAAUUAUCAAAUGAAUAUUGAUAUAUUUCUUUUAAGAUAUAUUACCUUGCUUACUGUUAUUUUCUAUAUUCUUUGUUUUGUUUUGAUAUUUCUGUCUUAUUUUGAUUCAAUGGAUCAUCUUUUAUAAUUACUUUUUCUUCUAUAUUAACUUUUUUUGUAUACCUUUUUUGUAAAAUGUAACUCAUGAUUGCCUUGAGGUUGAUAAUAUACAUUUUUAACUAAUAAAACUCUACAUUCAAGUUGUAUUUUACUAUUUCAUAUCUAAUGUGUUGACCUUACCUCACCAUAUAGUUUUCUCUCAUCCUUUGUGUUAUGAUUGUCUUAUAUUUUAGUUUUAAAUCUGUUUUAAAUGCACAAUGUGUAAUGAUAGCUAUGUAUUUAGUCUGGAUAGCAAAAUACCAUUUAGAACAAGUUAAAGUACAAAAUCAUUAAUAUUUUACAAUAAAAAAUUAACCUUUGUUUA